ACCUUCCUAACAAGCUAAAAUAGUGAAAUAGAAAUCCACAUUUUUAUGGCCUGCCCUCCCUGAACCCUACUGCCCACUUUCUGCAACGCACACAGGAAAUGAAUUCCCUGUAAUGUGGAGGGGGGGUUGAAUAUGUUAAUCUCAAAUUCUCUAAAUGUUUUGGUUCCCCGUAAAUCAUGUGGGCACGACUCAGCCUAGUUAUUCCUUACAAAUUCCUUUCUUUUUCUUUUUUAAAACUAGCUUCUGUUUUUCCUCAUUUUUGAUAGAUCCCACUGCAAACUUCAGCUACAGUAAGUGCAGGGGACCAAAACACUAUUCGCACAUAGAAGGUAUUUUAUUAAGUCCAGCAGUUAAAAAUGUACAAAGUUCCUUGUAAUAAUCCAUUCAUUCUGUUCUUGCCUGAUUCUUGGAGUAAGCCUGCACAAUUAUUCAAAUCCCAGCUUUUAGCUACAGCAUACACCUCGCCAUGGGGCUAUGCCUCUGUAAUCUUGCUUUGGUCUUGCAUGUCAAAUGGAAUUAACUCCCAUAAGAAAUAUGUGCAAAGACAACCCAAAGUGUCUAAUCCCGCUGCUGUCUUAAAUUUUUGAAACUCUGAGCUGUCAUCUUUUUCUGUUGCUUUGUUGAAGUUCUCACUUAUGCUUCAGUCCAUCCAAAGCUGAAGUUUAGGAAAAUUCGCAUUUUUAUAUAUAUUUUCAGUUAUGCUCUCCCUUGGCCUUUUCACAUUUUCUCUUUAUAGGAGAAUUUUUUUCUUCCUUCAAAUUCCAAGACCAUCUUAUACACAGUGGAAUUUCAAGAAGAGGUGAAUUUGCUUUUUCUGCCCACCCUCCAGUCUACAAGGUGAUGUAAACACAUUAGUUGAAGAUUCACAAGCCAAAUAUAAAUAAGAUAUGUGAGUGCGUGUGUAUGUGCAUGUGUGAGUAGUAUCUGAAUAUUGUAUGAGAGACGAAAUAAUGAUAUCAUUAUUACUAUACCUUAACCACUCAACCUAGCUAAUCACACAAACUAAUUCUGUCUCAUUUGAAUCUCAAACUGCAUCAUCUCCCUCAUGAAUAAAAAAAUCAGUGAAAUGAGCUUGGUUAGUCUACUUGUAUGUUGUAUUAAGAGUAGAUUAGCUUGCUGAGUAAUUUUACACUUUCUUCCUUUUUCUAGGGAGUAUAUUGCUUAAAAUCAUAAAUAUUGUAUGGUUUUCCAUAUCAUAUCUUGAAUUUCACUUACUCAUCUUCUACAAAGUCCUAGACAUAAGUAAUCUAGAAGAAUACUCAGUAUCCAAAAAGCAAAGUAAGCAUUUAAUAAGUAUUUGUUGAAUUCCUGUGAAUGAAUUAGGACAGCUUAUUCUACUGCUUCUGAAGGUUGAAUCCUGUUGCCUCAAUUCACAAGUUAUAUUAUUUCAUCUGGAAUGAAAGUGGCCUUGGCUUUAGUAAGUUUCCUUCACAGCCUGUGUGUUCAGUCUGAUAAUUACACAUGAUGCAUAUUUUAAUAUCGCCCGUUAUUCAGCAUUGUGGGUUCCUUGAGGUGUCUUGACUUAGUGAGGUGUGGAAGGGUAAAGCUGUAACUUGGUGUGGUGGAUAUUUAAUAAGUGGUAAACCGCAGCAUUCUCCAUUUGAAAGUUAAUUAAGGCCACUGGCUGACUGGGCUUAUGCAGAAAACAUGUUCAUGGGUUAGCCAUGGAAACAGUCACAACAAUGCUCAGCUAAAAAUAAUGGCCUUAAGAGACAGUUUUACUGAUCAUUCCUGAAUGCUUAUUGCUUUUUUCUUUUUUUUUAAAUAAAGGGAUUGCCACAUUUUUGAGGAAACACUAGUAGCACCAGCUUCUUUUGAGACUUAAAACUUUUACUUAUGCCUGUGCAGUAGAUAGUGAAAUAAAGAUUGAUGUUAGGGGAUAGCUGCAUGAUUGAAUUAUAUUUUUAGAGUUAUGUGCAAGAAUGUCUCUUAUAAUCAUCUCUUAUGCUCUCUUGAUUCUCUUUGUCUAGUUAAUAGUGGCCUUUAAUAUCUGAUGCAGCUAGUUUGUGCACAGGAGAAGUUAGCAUUAUUAGCUGAUUUUAUUCAAAUUGUGUUUCAGUUUGUUGAAGAACCCACUUUUAGUGACAGACAAUAUAAUAUGAAUUAUAUUUCUGUGUGCUCAUUGUUUCUUUACAGUGAGAAAUGAAAUAAGACUGUGUAUUUUACUGUACAAUAGAUUACUUUUGCUAAUAGGAUUGAAAAAGCACAUCAAAUACAAAUGUCCUUUCAGCAUCUGGUUGGUGAAUUUAGAUCGUCUUAUCAAAUAUCUCAAUACUAUUCUAGAAUCCAACAAUAUUUAGUGCAACUGAAAGAAGUGACAGUAUAGUAUUGGGCAAAUAUGAUAAGGGUAUAACCUAGGUAGAGAGGUAUCAGGAAGGUUGAAGUGACUCAGAGAUAUUGUGGAGCUAGCUAAUUGCAAGAUAUUUUUAUGGAGAAAUACAGAAUUCUGUUUGCAAUUACUCUUAGUGGACCCCAUGUAAUCUGGGUCUGCAAUCCCACCAUUCAAUUUUAAACGAUCUAAUUGGUCUAGAGGCCAAAUAUGAGAAGAAUUUGUCCAUCUCCUACCCUCCCAUUCACCCACAUUCCCAUGUGACUCUAAGCACAUCUCUGGAAGAAUCUUGAGCUCAAAUGACCCUUCAUCUUUGAUAGGACUGACUAGAAAAAAAAGGUGAAAUAGGACAAAGAUUCAGCCCCUUAUAAAGUUUAUACCUUGUAUCUUGCCUAUGUCAUCACUUAACCAAAUGGAGAUCAUAUAGUCCAAGAGCCAAAACACUGAGGUUUAGAUUUAGAACAUUCUCCUUCUUAACCUGGCCAUAAAAUAAUCCGCUGCAGAAUAUUUUAGAUAGAAUUGACCCAAAGCUGGUAUCCCUACAAAUCCUCACUUGUGACUUAUUUCACCCAAUAUUAUGUGACAAAUAUCCAUCUCUGCCAAUAUCAGUUGAGUUUUUUGGUUCCAUUUUUCUGACUGGCUACUUUCAAUAAAUAACAUUUUUUCUGGCUUGUCCUUCCUCCUUCCCACACUACUUUUCAUUUUUGUCAUUUGUUCUAAUUCAAUUUGAAAUACCCAGCAUCUGACUGUAACCCGGUAUGGGGACUCAGGAGACUUCAGCAAGAGCAGGUCUCUUGAAAAGGGUCUUUUGGACACAACAGAAUAAGCCUUUCUUUAUUAUCUCAGGGAUAACAAAAUGUGGUAUGAGCAAGACUGUGCAGCAACAAUAAUUUCAAACAGCAGCUAACUUGGUGAAAAACCCUGUCCCUUGGGUGUGAACAGACCGCCCCUUGGCUCAAAGUCAUCUUGCUGUCCCUGCUGCUGAUUCUCCAGACCAACAAAAACAAGUAUGAAAAAACACACAGAGUUUCAAGAGAAAGCUCUUCUGUAGGAGCCUUGCUUUUGGAAGUGGACUAGAUUUGCAGUCCAUAUAAAGGCUUGGGCAAGGGCUUAAGGACCAUCACCAUGUACAAAUACAGUGACUUUUGUCCAUUAGGUGGGCCAUGGGGCUUGUUAGGCACCUAUGACCUAUUUUUUUCUGUAAUUGUCCAGAGGAAAGCUCCAGUUUCCUUGUACCAAGUGAGGAUUACUCAGGAAUAAUAAGCACUGGACUUCGCAAAUCACCUGGAUUUGAAUUCGUGCCUUAUAACCUGAGAAAAUCACUGUCUCAAGCCCUCAGUUUCUUCAUAGAUCAAUUGGGAUAAUAACAUUUCAUUUUCAGAUUGUGGUAAUUGAAUGAAAUAUAGAAAUGUGUUAUUAUUGAGAAAAUAUCAAAAUGUUUAGACUGAUGUGAAGCUUGAUGUGCAGAGCCAGUGAAAGCCCUAUGUGAGAAUUCUUGAGGAAAAAGGGAAGCACUAUAGUGGAAGAUGGAAACACUAAAUGGAAGGUGUUAUUAUCAUUAUUAUUGUUAUUAUCUUCAAGGUAUUAAGACAAUUUUUAUCUGCAGCAGAAAAAAAGUGGUUGUCUCUUUUCUCAACAUUCAAACCUGGAUCCAUCACAGCCAGAGGUUCUUCCAUUGCUUUUUGGUGGGGAGGUAGGUAGUUCAUGUCUGCCCCACACUUGCAGACAGGGUGAAGAACAGCUAAGUUGGAGGCAGUGUAAGACAGCAAUCACAGGGUCCCCUGGCUGCAGACAUUACAGAUAAGCAAGUAUCUUGGGUAUUUAAUAUUCAUGUGUUAUGAGAUUCCAAGGAGGGUUGAGGAAAAGGUACAAGUUGACGCUAGACUGUAGCUCAGUGCUUACAAAACAGAAGCCUAUGAAGAGGAAUGCCAAGGGCUCUUAUCCUUCAGACCAUAAACAGUGUCCUGCAAUAUGUUUUUUUUCCCAGGAUAUAGAGACAUUAGCUUGCCUGUAGUUAGUAGCCAAAUGGACGUUUUAUCAAUGGAGUACUUCAUCUUACAAAAUAUGUCUGUUUAAGCAGUAUGUAAAGAGACUAGAAAUUGAGGUAGACCAGAAAGAAUAAAAACAAAAGAUAAAACACAUAUCCCAGGCAUGUGUGUCUGUCCCUAUUGUAUAACAAAAGUUGGCUCUUUGUGGAAUGUUGCAUGAUGGAAAAUAAUUGUGGAAGACUAUGACCCUGCCAUCUAUUUUUUAAGUAACAUUCAACUACCUUAAACUUAUACAGAACCUAUCAGAGUGCCAUAUCCACAGUGAACACACAACACCUUGGGUAGCAGCAAGAACUUGCCAGCAUAGGUAAUGUCCACGUAUCUGAAGUAGAAGGCCCUAAAAGUGUUGAAAACAUCUAGGUGAUGGGCAGAUACAAUGGAACACAUUUUUAGCAACCCUUGGAGUAACUGAAACAUUGGAUAUCCAAGUAAUCCAAGUAAGACUGUUCAGAGUCCCAGAAAUCAACUGAACUGUCUAGGGAGAAUCUGGGGACACCUUCCAGCUGCUUUUGCAACACCCAUCCAACAAAUGUUUGUAUCUGCAAGGGACAGUAAAUGGACAACGGAGAAACAGGAAGUAGGAGUUACGUAGACUCAAUGAGCCUUUGUGUUCUCAUCUGUAAAAUGGGCCAGAGCUGCGGGGAAUAAAUCAGAUAAAGGAGGCUAAGCUUCAUCCCAAAGUCUGGCUCAGAGGAAGUAGGCAAUAAAAUAAAACAUUUUUUAUUAGAAGAAAGCAUAUAUUUCUUGUCUUUGGAGAGAGCCCCUUCUCUCUCCCUGCCUCCUCCUUCAAGCCUCUGAGGCACCUCUGUAGUAAUUGGCUGCUAGGGUUUGGCAUCUCUCUGCAGAGAAAUAGUUUUUUGUCAAAAGGCUCUGGGGUGGUGGUGUGAGGGAUUUAUUAGUGAUCUAAGGCAACAGGAGCUGCCUCUGGUGUUUAUCGACUGUUUCUAGCUGGAGGCACAGAAAUACACAGGCACUAAAGGGUGAGUUACUGUUGGUUGCUGCUCUCUGGACCAGCAGGGACUUGGCAAGCUCUUGGAGGACAGAGUGUCUUGCAUCAAUCAGUAGUGACCCCUCUGGCUGAAUAUGUACAGGCAUAAAGAGGCUCCUAAAUUAGCCUCUGUUCUCCUUCGCAGGAUGGAUGGAGGAUGAAAAGCAGAAUCUGGAACAGGAGGAAACAUGUGUAACAGAGCAUUGAGCUGUACUCUGAAAAAUCCAGCCAACCCUUUCUGCUCAAAACCAAUCUUAGAUGUCUCUCAUUUAUGAGGGCCUAUUAAAAAAAAAUAUAUAUAUAUAUAGUUGAUGUGUAGGAAGUGAGAAAGGGAAUGGAAGAAAUGAGAAGAGGAGAAUAGACAGCAAAAAAUAAAAUGUGCAACUACUUGCUUGGUGAGUGAAUUAAAAUGGAACAGGGGUGACUUAAGACUCUUUCCAGCAUUUUCCAGUGUAUGUUGAGACAGAUGCCUGCUCCAACCAGAGGUGAGAGGUAUGAUAUUGCACCAUCUAAUUAAUUUUUAAAGCCAUUGCAGAAAAUUUUCAUGUUUGUUAAAAAUUUUACUGAAUAUUCAUUUACCUAAGAAUGCUAAGGAUCUGGCUGAACUUCAUAAAAGCUAAGAAUCAUUAAAAAGAUGUUCUUCCAGAAUAAGGUAAAGGCACCUCUCAUGUUUAAGAAAUGAUAGCUCAUAUUUGGGGAUUCCUUUAAUCCUUCCUCCCUGCUAAUGAUAUCUCCUUUGGUUGAGAAAAGAAGGGAAAGAGAAGAAGUCUCCAGGUAGGAAUACACUUUCUUGCUUCACAUGUCCUAGCUUUCCUUUGUGGUCCAAUUGCAGUAAUUUUAAUGUCUGAUUGAGGAUAGCAGUAUUCAAAAAAGCUGGCAUGAAAAUAGUGAAUCCACAAAUUUAAUAUUGUUUUCUGUGUUAAUAAAUUUCUUUUGCUUAUUUUCUAUAAUGCAUCAGGGGAGGACAUUGAAUCUUGCUCCAGAUGGGUCUGUUAUAUAACCACAACCAGGAAUAUGGAGUUAUCCCAGAGCUGACUGGGCCAGAAAACAUGGAUAACACAAUGCAAAUCUGACCCUAUUGCUGCCGGAGUGAAUCCAGAAGCCCUAAUAUACCCUGAUCAUGCACAGACAGAGAGAAGGUUGAACAAAAACUGUAUGAAACCUGUGCAAAGGGAAAUAACUGAAUCUUCAACACUGAAAGGCUAAGAGGUCUUCCUCCAGUUAUUAAAGGAGUGAAAAUUGUUGAACUCUAUAGGCAUUUAAUUUGUCAUUAAGUAGUACUACAGUGCUGGAGGUGCCUGGAGAGAGUGGAAGAUCUGCCCACCACAGCCUGUCUCAGGCCUGCUGGUGACCAUCCAUGCAUAUCACCACCCAGAAGCUCCUCAUUCUUACCUGUCAGGCAGACAGGACCUCCCAUUGCCUCCUCUACAUUCCUGUCCUUUUUUGAAGCAUUAUGGUCCUUGUGUGAAGCUGGGAAUGGGGAAGUUCAAGAGACCACCUGCAAAAAGGACUGUGCAAAGCAUCUUCUCAAUAACCUUGCCAACUCCCUGCAGCUGCCACAGGUCACCAAGUUAUCUGAGGGGUUUGGUCCCCAGACCUUCCUAACCCAUCCACAAGACUCAGCCCAGAAAACACGAUAAAGAGCCCAAAGAUUCAAAGGAAGAUUUUGAACUUGAUGAUGGAGGAAUAAUACUUCUUGGAGAAAUGAAGAUAAAGAUUGUUUCAUUCUUGGUACACCUGAGUGUCCAGUACCCAGUGAAUGUGAUAAGAAGUGGGCUGCUUACAAAGGGUACCUAGGCAGUGACAUCUGCACCUCUCGGAACCAGAUGCCACUGUGGACAUUUUCUCAACCUUUUUCCACUGUGCACACAGCUUGGCGUCCUGGCAGGCCUUUCCCCUAAUUUUUAACCUUCAGAUAUUCUAAGAGGGAGCUGAACAUAUGGUACAAACUGAAUAAAUGGGAGCAGAUGACUGCAAAGAGAACGUGAUUUAAUGUCAGGAAGAUAGACAAGUAGGUCUUUCUUAAAUUGAUAUGUGGUUGUAGGACCAUUGAAUCAUUUCUAUGUGAAUGUUCCUUCCUAGAUUUAGUAAAAUACUUCAAUUUGUGAGAAAUCCCAUGUCAAUAACAUAUAAACCGAGGAAAGCUUUAAGAUCUGUGCAGCUCCCAGAACAUCCUUAGAUUGUCUCUGCUUGCUCUUGUCACUUCCUCAAUGCCAGUCAUUCUUGUACAUUUCUUCCAUUGUAUUUUUCAUGAAGUAAACACAGUUAUUACCACAGAUUAGCAGACAAAUCGAGGCAGGGCUUCUCUUUUCUCCAUGAAGUUCUUCUGGACUUGUUUAUAUUGUAACAUCUUUGAAGGUGAGACACAUUCUAGUCUACAUUUGUUGGUACCUGGCACAUAUUGAGUACAUGGCCAAUUUUUUGACAGUAUCAAUUAAUAGUCAAACACGGAUGAAUGAAAAAGUUGAUGUUUUGUGAAGCCCUCAAUGAUUUAGAGAACAUUUAGAAAUGAAUCCAUUUCAUUUCCAAAGAAAAUUUUGCAUUAAGUUUUUUUUUUUAAUUCUCCCAAGUGAGAUUUGGGGAAAUUUCAUAUGAUAAACUCUUUACAUUAUCUUGCAGUAAUUCCACAGAAAUCUCUAUUUAUGUAAACACAGUAAAUGCAUCAUAACACUAGAAUAAGUGUACAAAUACUGCAUGUCAAAUUAGGUUAUAAUCACUUUCAAGGGACGUGAUUUCCUAGCUAAACAGAUUCCUUUACAUUUUGCAAAAUAAAAAAUAAGUGAAAAUAACUAUAUAAAAUCAGGCUUACAGCUGGACAGAACUUCUUGGCAAUGGUCCAGACACUGAGCAGGGAAAACCCCUACAGCUGAGGAGUGUGUAGGACUCUCGGGAUGACUUUGCAGGCUUGGCCUGGAGAGCUGCUCCUUUGGCUGAUUCCUGAGUGUGUACCUGUCCCUGAUGACCUGUAGGGAGAGAAGCUACAUUAACAUUUAAAAUGAGACUUGCUGUGAGAGGAUUAGGAGGUAGUGGGAGCAGAGUGGAAAUUUGUUUGGUUAAAGGGAAUAAAAAAUGUAAUUUGACAUUUCACCCUUAGGUAAAAAAGCAUGAUAGAGAAAGUCAGGGGUCUUGUAACUAAAAAAGUAAAUAGUUGAAGCUAACAUUGGAAUUGUUGAACAUUAGGUCAGGGUUUGAUUGCCAUGGAUCCUGUGGUCCAACCCGUGGAAUACAGAUGGGGAAAUGCUGGCUGCAGUGCAAAAAGCAGGGCUAGGUCUUGAGAUCAAGAAGUCUGCCUCCACAAACUGAUGUAUAUCUAUGAAAUAAUUGAAGCCUGUUCUUUGAAGAGAGUGAAUAGUUUAACAACUACUCAUUCUGGUGCAUAUCUUUAAAAAAUACAUUCUACAUCUCUCCAACACUUUCUACAACACUCUCUUAUUUUGAUUCCACAAGGGUAUAAUUGUAAGCCUCAGUUGCAAUAGAAUACUACAUAACUCAGUGGUAUUCUCUGUAGCCUAUUGGUAAUGCAGAGCUUUCACUUAGCUUCAAUAAAUUGUGUGUUUGCAUUUGGUUAUCUUUCCUAUGUUCCCUUAACUGUGUUCAUGUGCUUAUUUUUGUUGAUUUCAAGAAGUGACUAAAAUGGGGGAUUUUUUAAAAUCUGUUAAUUUUGACUUGAAGGUAGCUCACAAUUCUAUAUGUAUGAAGUGUUUCUGUUUUAGUUUAACUGAUACUAAUUUUUACUCAAAAUACAGUUGUUGAACACAUUUUCUAUAUACUGUGCAAAAGUUUCCCUCCACAUUCCAUUGGCUGAACUGCUGUGACCAGGGGUUGGCAAACUAUGCCCUGAAAGCUGAAACUAGUUCAG